CUCUCGGCGAACAAAGAGGGAGCGAGCGGCGCGGCGGGAGGGGAAGAGGGAGGCGGGGGAGCCGGCCAUGCGGGGCCGCAGGUGAGGCGAGGACCCGGCAGCCCGGAGCGCUCCAUGGCCGGCGGCUCGGGGUGAAUGAAGCAGGCGAGGCGGGCAUGGCGGGCGUCAGCUACUCGCCGCCCUGGUGGGUGAGCCUGCUGCACCGCCUGCCGCACCUCAGCCUGCGCUGGGAGCUCACCGCCGCCGACUUCCGCCCGGACGACGCCGAGUACCAGCAGGCUCUGCUGCUGCUGGGUGGCAUUGCGCUCUCCUGCCUGGCUCUGGACCUGCUCUUCCUCUUGUUCUACUCCUUCUGGCUCUGCUGCCGCCACCGAAAGAGCGAAGAACACUUGAAUGCCGACUGCUGCUGUACAGCAUGGUGUGUCAUCAUCGCGACCCUGGUGUGCAGUGCUGGAAUUGCUGUUGGCUUCUAUGGGAAUGGAGAGACAAGUGAUGGCAUCCACAGGCUGACGUACUCCCUACGCCAUGCAAACCGCACUGUGGCAGGUGUCCAGGACCGGGUGCUAGAUACCACAGUGGCCCUGAACCAAACAGCAGAGCCAAACCUGCUCAUCCUGGAGGAGAUGUUUGCAAAGCAGACAGACCACUUGCAUGUUAUCCAGAAACUGCAAAGUCUCUUGGAUGAUUUGGUCAGGCAAGCAACUGAGAUCCCCUUCUGGAAGAAUGAAGAGCUGUCUCUGGAGGAGCUGGCAAUUCAGAUUGACCUCUAUGACUGGUACAGGUGGCUCGGGUACCUGGGCCUGCUCCUGUUCCAUGUUCUGAUAUGUUUGUUGGUGCUCUUUGGGCUCAUCAGAAACUCCAGGGCCAUUCUUAUGGGGGUAUGCUUGCUUGGGGUGUUUGCCCUGAUUGUCAGCUGGGGGUCCUUGGGUCUGGAGCUGGCUGUUGCUGUGGGCUCCAGUGACUUCUGUAUUAACCCGGAUGCUUACAUCUCCAAAGUGGUUGAGGAGAACGCAGUGCUUAGUGCUGAUACUUUCCGCUAUUACAUCACCUGUAGCACCGGAUACCCCAACCCUUUCCAGCAGAAACUGUCAGGAAGUCACAAGGCUCUGGUGGAAAUGCAAGAUGAUGUUGUGGAACUCAUGAGGUCAGCAAGCAGAGAGCAUCCCACCUCCAAGGACUAUCUUACACGGAUCCAGGAGGUUCUCAAUUCAACAGAGAUAAACUUGCAGCAACUGACAGCUUUAGUAGACUGUCGGAGUCUGCAUUUGGAUUACGUCCAGGCUUUGACGGGCUUUUGCUAUGAUGGAGUGGAAGGCCUCAUCUACCUGGUUCUCUUCUCCUUUGUCACAGCCCUCAUGUUCAGUUCCAUUGUGUGCAGUGUCCCACACACUUGGCAGCAAAAGAGAAGCUCAGAUGAUGAUGGGGAUGAAGAAUCAGCUGCUCAGGGGAGCAGACAGACACACGAUAAUCUUUACAGAGUGCACAUGCCCAGCCUCUAUAGCUGUGGGAGUAGUUAUGGCAGUGAGACCAGCAUUCCAGCAGCAGCACACACAGUCAGCAAUGCUCCCGUCACAGAGUACAUGAGCCAGAAUGCAAAUUUCCAGAACCCCCGUUGUGAGAAUACCCCGCUCAUUGGCCGGGAGUCCCCACCUCCCUCAAGUGUCCAUUUGUGAUGUGUGCAAUCUUCUGAUGAUCUCAUUGCAGAGAAAUGCAAUGAACUUUACACCUCUUUUCUUUUCAACCUCCUUUUCUGGCAUGGUUGAAAGAAUCAGCAUGACUAAAAGAGGAUGAAGGUGUGAGUACACCUCCAGCAUGAGAGCCAAAUACCUCGCCACCAACCAACCUCGUCCAGAUGCUGGCAAUGUGCAUUAAGAUGAGAAAGCAAAAAAGAAAAAGAAAAUCAAAAAGAAAAACAGCAACACAAUAAAAACCAACAAAAAACAACAGCAACAAAAACCCACAUGUGCAGUCAGACAAAACAAUGUGCCAACUGCUGUGCCCCUGUGCUGUCCUCGUAGAACAAUCCUGCUGUUCUGCCCCAAAUCCAGUGCAGCUCCUUCAGUUUCUCCAGCUCAGAACACCCCUCCAACCUCAUACCUGCCCAAUGGAGUGGAAGCCCUUUUUGAAUCCAAGCCUUUGCUUUGUUGUACCUGAUGUACAAAAGAGAGCAAGCAUGUGCAGGCAGAGCAGCUGAAAGAUCACCUGCCUGCCCUGGGCUCCACCUGCCUGGGGCCAGCUUUGUCGGAAUAAUAGCUAGAAAGCAUUGGUGAAUAUCUUCUGCCUGCAUUUUUUCUCUUUCAGUUCCCCAGAGGAAUGUGGUGAAAUAUGGUGGUAGAUCUGCUGUGGGAUCAGCAGAGCUGCUCGGUCUGUCAGAUGCUGAAGAGGCAGAGGCUCGGUGUCUGUGACAACGUGCAACCAGGGGAAGCUGAGUUGAUGCGCAGUGUGGCAUCAUGGUGGGAGUCCCCUGGUCCAGUGCCCUGUGUGGGGGAAGGGAAACCCCUGCCUCUUGCUGUCUCUGCACAUCCACUGUAUUUUGGGAGCCUGUGGUUCUGUUCUAGGAAAAAAAAACCACUCCACUACCCUGAUAACUUCUUUUUUUUUUUUUUAAACCACUAAGAGAAUGCCUUUUUCUUUCCCACUGUAGCUAGCAUGUGAAUUCUUGAGAAGGAGCAGAGGAUCCCAGCACCUUUUAACUACCCUGGCCAUUGCUCUGAACCUGACCUCUCUGCUCCAUCAGGGAAGCCCAGGUACUUGCAGAAGGCAUUCUGCAGCAGGGUGCUGCCUUUACCAGGCUGACACAGAUCAAACAGGAGCCAGCCACUGCCCACUUGGUGCCAAACUUUUCCAGGAAAAGACUUUGUGGUGGGGAUUUUUGCACUAAAGAGUUUCAGCUCUCUGAUGCUAAGUCUUAUGGGACAGUCAGCUUGUGAAAACAAGAGGGGCUACAAGCACCGAUGGAUUUAUAGUAAAUGCAAGCUCUCCCUGCAAGAGUGACCUGUGAACUCUGCUGGACUUUCUUCUCGUUUUCUUCUUUUAUCACCAUUUACAGCACAGGGUUGUUGAACUGGCACUGAAGGAGGUUUUUUGGAGCCUCAAUCCUAACAAACUCACAAGAUCCUCAGUGUAUCUUCUGUGCUUCAGAAUCAGAAGCCCGGAUGCCAUCUGGAUAACGUUGUGACUAUCAGAACAUGUUUUUAUUCUCUUUGUUUUUGUUUUUCAAGGCACAUUGCUAACCACUCUCUGACCAUAUUAAGGCACACAUAGGCAUUUUUCUAGCUACGAGGCAGAACAAAGCUUGCAAAGGGGCAGCUGGGUGCCUGCAAAGGGCAACAUCCUCCACUGGUGCUGUACUUCCCACUGAAGAGCAGUGCUCCAACAGGCACUGGCAGCUUCCCACUGGAAGAGGAGUCUGCCUCACAAUGGGCUGGUAGUACUGUAGAGUAAUGACCUUCCAGUGGGGAAACUAUGAUGUUCUUUUGUGACUUCUUCAGUUUGUUUUACCUCUGAGCAGGGGCAUCUUAGUGUGUAGCUGCUGAGUGUGGCAUUAAAUAACUGGCAGAAGAGACGGAGUGGGAAAUAUCCCUCAAACUGGAGCUGAGCCAUUGGCAGAGGCAGUUAAUCUUCACCUCCAUGACAUUCAGACUCAGGGUCUGUUGAUCCCACGUUUGCUGUACGAGGCGCAAAAUCUACCGAUCUGCCUUUCCUCAAGUCAGUUGCCUUCUUGCAGUGAGGUAAGAAUUGCUCCUCGCAGGUGGCUGAGAUGAUGGUAUUGGCUGUGAAAGGGUACCAGCUGUGUGGAAAGCAAGCUUUAUGCUCCUCACGAGAAGAUAAACGACUAACAGACUGAAAAAAAUACAGGCCAGCUUUUACCAUUCAAAGGGAUGAGAAGGAAAGGGAAGAAGAGGCAUCACAGAAUAAGAAUUGGGGAAAAAACUUCACCGUAAAUCUCUGGAAGCAGGAUUUUCUUGCUCAGGACUGAGUAGGCCUUUCAGACACAUUUGAUGGGCUUCACGCUGAAACAUACCUCAGUGUUAUCAAAUAACAAGGGCAGGGAGAGUGCUGCAGGGUGCAUGGAGGGACACUGGGGCUCACGAGCGCCAGAUUUUCCACCCUGUCCUAAAGGAAAACCUAGGAGUAGAGCAUGUGGCAUAGUUAACUCGCAGGGUCCAAAGUAUGGAAUUGCUGUCUAGGAGCAGCAGAGCCUUCCCCUUGCUUUGAAGAAAGAAGCAAGAUGCAUAUAAUCCUGAUUAAGACCAAAUUGUUCUGUCCCUUCAAGGAUGUGCCCAGAUUGCUACUUAGGUUACCAUUUUUAGGGGGGGGAUGCCCUAAAUCUGUGGCCUGAUCCAACUCCCUGAUGGCAAGUUUUCUGGAAGCUUGAGGUGAGGAUGUGGGGAACCCUGUGAAGACAGGUGCUUCUGUAUAUUGCCUCUGCUGUGUACAGAAUGAGUCUGGAACACGUGUGUGACUGCACUUCGGAAGGGGCUGCAUCUGAGUUGUCACAGCAGCACUGCCUGCUGCUACAGGGGUAAUGGGGAAGCCUGUGCCUCUUGUUUGCAGCAUCUAAUGCAGCAGCCACCUUGACUUGCUUCUUUCCAAGGUUCAGCACAGCCACCCUUACCACCCAGAACAACUUCUGACAACACUUGGGCUUGCAGCAAGGCACAGAUGUGGAGGUAUGUGCUCUCUGACUUCAAAAUAUAACUGGAAAGAGUGUUUUGGAGAUGACAUUUUGCUCUCUGGAGGCCAGCAUAACCUGACUGCAGUGUGAGCUGUGUACUUUUGUCCAGCCAGCACUUCCUUUACUUGACAUGGAUAUUGCACUUUUGUAAAGCAUCCUGGAACUCUGCUGCCCCGCUGCAUGCUGUGCAGAGCGCUGGAUAGGAAACACAGACAAACGGUUUGGUUUUCUUUUAGUAUUGUUAUUACUUUUUCUCCUUUUUUUUUUUUCUUCUUGUUUUUUUUUUCUUCUUUUUUUUUUUAAACUGGAACCUUGAGCAACAGCAUGGCAUUUCUGCAGACUGGUCUGAGUAGAUCUGCUGAAGAACAGAUGGCCUUUGCCUAUUCCUAUGGCUGUGACACAAUCAGUCUCAUCCAUAUGGUCACAUUUUGUCUGAGGAGGGGACUCUCAGAAGCCAAGAUCUCCCAGACUCUGUGCCUCCCUCUUGAGUGAACAGCAGGUGCUAUCUGGCAAAGACUCAUCUGUUCUAGAUGGCAUUCAUGGUUGAGGGAGUCCAAACUCUUCGAGCUGUAGGAGGGAAAGCUGUAGAGAUUUCUCUCUCUUCCAUUGUGUGUCUUUGUUCUUAAUGUGACAAAAUGCCAAGGCCAUAUCGCCUGGUGUGUCCCAGCUGACUUUAUCAGAACAUUUAUCAUGUUACUGGUUGCUGACAAAGGGGUCCAGAAUUCAGGGGAGCUGAGAUUGGCCUCUGGACACCUCGCUGACUGUGGAAGGAGGGAGGCUGGUCCAGCUGGAGGCGACUGCAUUGCUGAAGGCACUUCAUGUUACUUUUUCAGAAGCACAAAUGUGGUCAUUGGCUUGUCUGGUUGGCUUGGUUUAUUUCCACUACAUCAUCAUGUGUGAAUGACUUUUUCUUUUGAAACUGAGAACUCUUCCAAGCACACGAACAUCUCCACAAUGUGAAAUGUAAAUAGCAUGUUGGACUCUCGUGUCCAGUGUUCAAGACUGCAUUGUAAUUGUAAAGGAAAUCAAAUCAAGACUUGGCUGUGAAUUUCUUGUGCUGUCUUGGGAAUAUAACUGUAGUGUUUGUAUCCUGUAUGUAUUAUUAAACUGAAUUCAUUUUAUGUGCUGAUAAAAGGGUUCAAGCUAAGGUUUUUAGCGUGCAUCCAUGUAUCCAAAUGUGAAGGAUGGAGUGCUCCCUUCCCCUCCUGUCCUUUUUAAGUUUUCUCCAUUUGAUAGCUGUUAAUUUUCCGUGUACAGUCAUCUCAGCCACGAUGCAAGGAUGUUCAUGUGAGUGCUUUGAGGAGGACGCAGUGCAUGAGGAUUUCAGUGAUUCCUAAGUCAGGAUUUCCAUAGCUGUUCCCUAAAAAUAUGCUAUGCUGUGUUCACACGAAAAGUUUGGCUUUUCUGAGAGUAAAUGUUUUCUCAGGGGGCUGCUUGGCCAUCGCUCAUGAGGACUCCGGGUGCUGCCAGGUGUUAGCAGGCAGGAGUGAGUGGAUACCUAUAUGAGCAAGGUACAGAUCCCCAUAUGGAUAAAUCCAUGUUUAACUUCUGGUCCUAUCAUUUCCUUUUAGCAGCAACAGAAAUCACAUGCUGAGCCCUCUGAAGGGAAGGGAAGUGUUGUGGCUUGUUGGUUGUAGUCACCCUGCCUGGCGUAGGCUUGGGUUAGUUGGGUUUCUCCUUUGGUGGGAACAGGUCUAUGCAGCACUUCCUACAGGGGGAGCAAGGAGAAGCCAGCAUCUUUCCCCCCAGAGUCGGUCGGUGUAACUCACUGAACAUCUUGGGCUUCUUUCAGAUUCUGAGGAGUAGGUCUUACACCUUGAGAGAUGGGGCCUGUCCUGUAACCAGAUUGGUUCUGUUAUCACCACCUGCUCUCCUUUUCCAGAAGUGAUGGAGGUGUGAGCUGCAAGUGGCUUCUCCACUCCUCCCAGGAGGUCCAGCAGAAGCAUCAGCUGUGUUGGUGGCAGUGCCUGGAUGUGCCACAGAGUGCUAAUGAGCGCUCUGUGCUUUGGGGGGAGCAGUGUGGGCCCCAGCUGAGCCCCCUGAGGAGCAUUGCCCAAGAGAGGGGCUGUCACGGAGCCUGGAGCUCCCCGGUGCUCACCCAGCCCUAAAGCAGAACCCAAAAGGGCAUGCAACCAGAACAUUCAAAACACUCCUUUCCAGAAGAGGAGAACUGUAGCAUGAAGCUCUUAGGUGCUCUGCGUAUUUGAUACCACAUCGCUCCUCGCUAUGCAAUUCCAAACUCCUUCCUUCCUCUUCCUCCUCCAAUCUCACACAGAGGCUCCUCCAGCAGCCUCUGCCCCCGGGGGGCCCUGGGCUCCUCAAACAGCUUCAUUCCAUUUGUUGUCCUCCACGUUGGGUCCGGGUGCUCCGCUGCUGCAUCGCGUGCCUCAGGUCCCUUAGUAGUGGGGCAGCCCCACGAGUCAUAGUUGCAUCAUUCAGAGGGCAGUUCUUUUCUUGGACACUGUGCACAGAAACCUAAAGAUGAACACGUUCCUGGCCUUUUUGUAACUUUUCUGUUCUACUUCUUAACCAUAAUGGUUGUAUAUCAUACCACUUUAUAUACAUAUAUAAUAUAUAAAUAUAUAUAAUUUUUUUUUUUUUUUUAAACUUUGGACCUGCUAGUUUCUUUCGAGUGUUCCUGCACUUACCCAAAAUGUUUUUAAAUUGUGAGGGUUAAAGAGGAUUGAGCCCAUUUUUGUAUCUUUACUUUUAAUUCUGUAGUUCUAUUGAUUGUAAUGUAGCUAUUUUUUACUGUAACUUUUUGGUUUGCAAAUACUAAAAAAAAAAAAAACAAAAAAAAAACACAAAAAAAAACACAAAAAAAACAAACAAAAAAAAUCCCUAAAUGUAAUUUCUGUGGUUUCUAUUCAGCUUGGGUUUCAUGUUUUAAAAAAUAAAUGAUAUAAAACCACCGUUCUUCCUUAUUGAUUCACACUGCUCACAAACCUGCCUGAAUUGUUGGUGCCUCUCAUGCACGGCGGUGUCUCCAUGGGCUGAGGGCAGGCAGCAGAGCUGUGAGAUCGCUGGUAGAGGGGGAAAAGAAGGGCCAUGUAGGAUGGGUACCAACCUCACCAGGAGCCGAUGCCCCCAGAUGUCACUGCUGGGCUGGGCUGGCAUCCUUCAGUGAGGCUUUGACUCUUCAAUGCAAUAUUUAUUGAUGUGCUGUGAGGCCAUUGGUGCAGUGCAGAAACACCAGUGGCUUUUUGCUGCCUUUUCACCCUGAUGCCCCUUUCCCCCCAAGCUGAGGGAGCUGGGCUUGUUCAGCCUGGAGAAAACAAGGCUGUGGGGUGACCUCAUUGCAGCCUUUCAGUACCUGAAGGGAGCCCACAAACAGGAGGGGAAUCAACUCUUUGAAAGGGUUGACAACUGCAGGACAAGGGGAAAUGGUUUGAAGUUGAGGGAGGGGAGAUUUAGGUUGGACGUCAGGGGGAAGGUCUUUACAGAGAGAGUGGUGAGGUGCUGGAACAGCUGCCCAGAGAGGCUGUGAUGCCCCGUCCAUCCCUGGAGGUGUUCAAGGCCAGGUUGGAUGGGGCCCUGGGCAGCCUGGGCUGCUACGAAAUGGGGAGGUUGGUGGCCCUGCAUGUGGCAGGGGGGUUGGAGCUUCAUGAUCCUUGAGGUCCCUUCUGACCCUGGCCAUUCUGUGAUUCUGUGAUUCUAUGAUGUGAAUCCACCAGGAACCAGAUUUCCUCCCUUCAUUAAUAAUUGACAGAUUUGCCUCUCUUCUUAUUCACCCCCUAAAAGAAGCACCUGUGUCUUCCAUCCAUGUGCUGAUUAAACCCAGCUUGGAGCAGCAACAGGCAGCUGAUGGCAGGAGAGAAAAUGAAGCCCCCGGCAGUCAGCAGGGCCAGGAGAGCCUUCAGCCCGAUGCUGGUGCAUCCCUGGGGCACAGCAGUGGCACAGCAGCGCUCCCUCCGCAGCAGCCGUGUCCCCACCAGCCCGGUUUGUCCCCUCACUCCUUCUGAAAGGCACCGAGUUGUCGGCAGUUGAGGAUAAACAGGACGUCCCACACCGUCCCACAGCAGCACAGAUGAAAGCGAGUUGUCCCGACGCAGCCGCCAAGUAUGUGAGAGCAGCAGGGCAGGGCUUCGUUGCCCUUUUAUUUAUUAAUGCAUUUAUUUAUUUACUUUUCAGCCCACGAGUAGAGAGGGAGAGGCCGCUGUGUUCUGCCUGCGCUGCUCCCCGGGGCACGCUGGGUGCUUUCAUUUCUUUUUUUUUUCUUUUUAAAUAUGAUUUCUGUUUCCAUAUUUUGGUGUUUCCCCACUUCCAGACAUUGUGCAGCCCACCCCCCCCAACUCCUAGCAGCUCCAACCCAGUGCUGGGCUUCCCCCAUUGCAAGAAGAGGAGGGAGAGCAGGAGCAUGUAGCUGGGGUUUUGCUGGAAAUGGGUGCUUAGGGCGGGUGUUGAGCUGCCCCAGGUGCCCCACAGGGACAGCCAAGGGAAGGCACAGUGCAGAAAGGGGCUGUCCAGGGCUUCCUGUAGCCUCUGCCUGUAUCACCCCAAUUAAGGGUCAGUGGGGGCUCUUCCUUCAUCCUGGGGCUGCGGGGGUGUGUUGGGUUGAGGUGUUUUAGCACACGCUGAUUUCCUGCCAAGGGUGUAUUUUUAGCACUGAUAACUGAGAAGUUUGAGCGAAACUGGAAAGUAAGUGCGGCUCGAGACACACAAAAAAAAGCUCCGAUAGAGAUGCUGGGUGAAGAGGAAGGCGGGGGGCAGAGGGAGGAGAAGAUGAGUCGCAGAUGAAAGCUGCUCGGGUUGAGCGCAAACAGCGCUGGGUGAUGAAGUGGGGGGGAAAGGGGAGGGACAGAUGUGAUGCUGGCCCUUCUGAAGGCUCUUUCCUACAGCUGGUGCCCUAUGGAAGGGGCUCUCCCCGCAGCCCCCUGCAGCCUUCCCACGCGGCCGUCCGCCUGCAGCUCUUCACACCUCCCUGCCAACAGCCAGCUCACACCUUCCCUCCUGACCCCGAGCCUGGGAAAAGCCCUUCCCGAGGUGUUAAACCCCAAUAGAGCCUUUUGGGGAAGGGGAAAGAGGAGAUGAGCCCAGCUCGGUGGGUCUGUACCCGUGAGAACAGAGAGAACGGCCACACAGAGACACGGAGAGCAGGACGGGGGUCAGCCCAAAGCUGCUUUAUUGGUGACGGCGGCAGCGAAGGGGUUCACGUCCCUGAGAACGCGCUGCCCACGCCGGUUCCCCACCCCACAGCUAUCGCCUUUAGACACAUCCUACUUACAAAAAGCACAGAGUGACGUUCCAGAUACUGGAACAUAUAAAUUAAGGUAAGUGAUAGUUACAAGACAUCGCCAUUUUUUUUCCUUUUUUUUUCCUCUUUUUCUUCCUCUUUCUUGAACAGAUUAUCAGAAGGCCGUUUGUCUUUUUCUUCUUUUCCGAUCCACAGAAAACGUAUAAAAAGCAUCUUAAAAUCUACAUAAUUCUCCAUGUUGUGGUUUCUUGUUUUUCCUUUUUUUUUUUCUUUUUUUUUUUUCUUUUUUUUU